rnacentral:misc_RNA from 1 species
GGCUAAAGUAAAGGGAGGGAAUCAAUGACAACGCUGCAAUGAUGGUCAAAGUACAAACACCUCAAGAAUCUCCUAUUCUCCUUCUCUUCUCCCAGCAGGCCCCGUCCGUUCAGCUGUUCCCACUCCAUUACCAUACACAGACAGGGGUACGUAGGGCCCAGCACCAACCCAAACUCCUAAUCCAGAGGACCAAGCUAAAAAGCUAGUAAUAAUGUAGGGAUCAAUCUACUAUAUAAACAACAUGACCUGCUACGGCCUUACACGUCGGAUCGGACCUAGCUCAGACAAUGCCCUGCGCCGCCGGGCCGACUUCUCCCGCGGUGGCGGUGGCGGCGGCGGCGGCCACCUGGUUCCGGCGCUCGUCCAGCGCGUUCCUCAGCUUGCCGUACCCGUGGCGCGCCCAGUCGUACCAGUGCAGCGCGACGUAGACUCCCAGCCCGGCGAUGAUGCCGUUGGCGAUGGAGAAGGACAGGGGCAUGAGCGCCAUGGUCACGAACGCCGGGACGCCCUCCUUCAUGUCGCCCCACUCGAUCUCCCUGGCGACGCGCAUCAUCAUGGCGCCUACCAGCACCAGCGACGGGCCCACGGCCCACGGGGGCACGCUCAUCAGCAGCGGGCCGAAGAAGAGGGACGCCAGGAAGCAGGCGGCCACGGUGAUGGCCGUGAGCCCCGUCCGCCCGCCCUCCCGGAUCCCCGCGGUGGACUCGAUGUAGGUGGUCACCGUGGAGCUCCCGAGCCCCGCGCUGAGCACCGUCGACCCGGCGUCCACGAGGAACGCGCGGUACUCGCCCUCGAACCCGCCGCCUUCCUUCACGAACCCUCCGUACUCUGCCAUGGAGUACAUUGUCCCCGUCGUGUCCAGGACGUCCACGUACAGGAGCGUGAGCAGGGCGAGCCAGACGUUGCCGUGCCGGAAGCCGCCGAAGCUGAGCUGCCCCGCGGUGCUCCGGAUCACGUGGAAGUCCACCACCUUCCUGAAGUAGUCGAAGCCGGCAUUGCCCGCCGCCGUGUCCGGGAACACCGUCACGCUGGUGCCUCUGAUCCAGGAGACCACAGUGACGAACAGGAUGCCGUAGAUCAUGCUCCCCUUCACGUCCCUGCCCAGGCACGUGGCCGUGAUCAGGAAGCCGACGGCGCCCAGCCAGAACGUCGGGCUGCGCAUGGUGCCGCCGAGGCAGGCGCCGGUGGCCGGGUCCACGUCCGAGCAGGCGGCCAGCGUGACCAGCGUCGACGGGCUGGCGCCGACGAGCCCGACCCCCUGGUGCGCCUGGAGCCCCGUGAAGGCCAGGAACAGGCCGAUGCCGACCGCCGAGGCCAGGCGGAUGUUCCGCGGGAUCAUCCGCGCCAGCCUGGACCGGAGUCCCACGGCGGACAGCGCGAAGAACACGAGGCCCUCCAGCAUCACGACGGCCAGCGCCGUGCGGUAGCCGAUGGGCCCGGAUCCGUGGAAGCCGACCAUGUUGUACGCGAAGUAGGCGUUGGCGCCCAUGCCGGGGGCCAGCGCCAGCGGGAGGUUGGCGAAGAGCCCCAUGGCGAAGGAGCCGGCCAUCGCGGCCACGGCCGUGGCCACGAUCAGGUCGCUCUUGGUGCGCGCCAGGCACUGCUGGUACCCCGGGUUAGCCUUAGCCCCGACGACUGCGCAGUCCGCGGUCGUCGAGUUGGUGGCGGUGGCCACGGGGGUGCAGUCCCGCGCCGUGCACGGACCGCCGGAGUCGGUCAGGAUUGCGGCGUUCACGGAGAUGAUGUAGGCCAUGGUGAGGAACGUGGCGGCGCCGGCGCGGAGCUCCUUGGUGAAGGAGCUCUUGCGCGCGUCCAGCUUGAAGUACCUCCCCACGUGGCUCCCGGCGACGGCACGGUUCACGGCGGCCUCGGCCUCCGAGAGCCUGCUCCAUGGCCCCGUUGCCUUGGACGACGUCGCCGCCAUUGUAUCUUCUUGGAUGUUGACUUCGUCGUCCGUACUCCUUCUCGACUGGUACAUGUGUCGAGGUUCUUCGACCUCGGACGCGUGUGUGGUGGUCUACUCGUACGAGCCCGGGGAACGCGACCCGGAGCUGCUGCUUAUAUGCAUGUUGGUGGGAGAGGCCGCCGGAGACUGGACAGAGGGUUGAAGAAACGUUUGGGGGUCGGUAGAUGUGUGGUGCGUCGCCCGGCCGACGGUACGGGUGGGGUGGGCAUCCUUUCGUGGGAACGGUGCACACUGA